rnacentral:rRNA from 1 species
GACGGAGGGUGCUAGCGUUGUUCGGAAGCACUGGGCGUAAAGGGCGCGUAGGCGGCCUUGCAAGUCGGUUGGUGAAAGCCCGGGGCUCAACCCCGGAGGUGCGGCCGAGACUGCAGGGCUGGAGGCCGGAAGAGGAGGGUGGAAUACCCAGUGUAGAGGUGAAAUUCGUAGAUAUCGAGAGGAACACCGGUGGCGAAGGCGGCCUUCUGGACAGUGACUGACGCUGAGACGCGAAAGCGUGGGGAGCAAACAGG